UGGGGAUGGGACUUUGUGAACAACUGUGAGAUAUGCUGCCAUCCCAGCAACAGACUGUUGAGCGACUGAAGUACAUCAAGAAAGAGCGAGUAUAAUUCUGCCUACAAAGCUUCACCAGAAAUUCAAGUGGAGAGAAUAAGAGUCACAGGCCAUCUUCCCAGGCAGAUUCUCUUCAAUGUGAGCCU